UCUGGCGAUCUUUCUUUCUUCUUUUUGUAGUCAGGGGAAACCCUGAUGGAGGACCGAAGCAAUUCUGACGUGCAAAUCGAUUGUCAGAGUUGAGCAUAGGGGCGAAAGACCAAUCGAACCAUCUAGUAG
rnacentral:rRNA from 1 species